rnacentral:tRNA from 1 species
GUUUAUAUAGUUUAAAAUAAAACAUUACAUUUUCACUGUAAAAAUAAAGAAAAAUAAAACUAAAUCCUUUUAUAAAUU